UACAGGGGGGGCAAGCGUUGUUCGGAAUUACUGGGCGUAAAGGGCCAGUAGGCGGCCAACUAAGUCACACGUGAAAUCCCCAGGCUUAACCUGGGAACUGCGUGUGAUACUGGAUGGCUUGAAUUCGGGAGAGGGAUGCAGAAUUCCAGGUGUAGCGGUGAAAUGCGCAGAUAUCUGGAGGAACACCGGUGGCGAAGGCGGCAUCCUGGACCGGCAUUGACGCUGAGGAGCGAAAGCGUGGGGAGCGAACAGG
rnacentral:rRNA from 1 species